AGUGAACGCUGGCGGUAGGCCUAACACAUGCAAGUCGAACGGCAGCACAGUAAGAGCUUGCUCUUACGGGUGGCGAGUGGCGGACGGGUGAGGAAUACAUCGGAAUCUACUUUUUCGUGGGGGAUAACGUAGGGAAACUUACGCUAAUACCGCAUACGACCUACGGGUGAAAGCAGGGGAUCUUCGGACCUUGCGCGAUUGAAUGAGCCGAUGUCGGAUUAGCUAGUUGGCGGGGUAAAGGCCCACCAAGGCGACGAUCCGUAGCUGGGCUGAGAGGAUGAUCAGCCACACUGGAACUGAGAAACGGUCCAGACUCCUACGGGAGGCAGCAGUGGGGAAUAUUGGACAAUGGGCGCAAGCCUGAUCCAGCCAUACCGCGUGGGUGAAGAAGGCCUUCGGGUUGUAAAGCCCUUUUGUUGGGAAAGAAAAGCAGCAGGUUAAUACCCCGCUGUUCUGACGGUACCCAAAGAAUAAGCACCGGCUAACUUCGU
rnacentral:rRNA from 1 species